rnacentral:rRNA from 1 species
ACGGGAGGCAGCAGUGGGGAAUAUUGCCCAAUGGGGGAAACCCUGAUGCAGCGACGCCGCGUGAGUGAAGAAGUAUUUCGGUAUGUAAAGCUCUAUCAGCAGGAAAGAAAAUGACGGUACCUGACUAAGAAGCCCCGGCUAACUACGUGCCAGCAGCCGCGGUAAUACGUAGGGGGCAAGCGUUAUCCGGAUUUACUGGGUGUAAAGGGAGCGUAGACGGCUUUGCAAGUCUGAAGUGAAAGCCCGGGGCUCAACCCCGGAACUGCUUUGGAAACUGUAGAGCUAGAGUGCAGGAGAGGUAAGUGGAAUUCCUAGUGUAGCGGUGAAAUGCGUAGAUAUUAGGAGGAACACCAGUGGCGAAGGCGGCUUACUGGACUGUAACUGACGUUGAGGCUCGAAGGCGUGGGGAGCAGACAGGAUUAGAUACCCUGGUA